UACGGAGGGAGCUAGCGUUGUUCGGAAUUACUGGGCGUAAAGCGCGCGUAGGCGGCUUUGUAAGUUAGAGGUGAAAGCCCGGGGCUCAACCCCGGAAUUGCCUUUAAGACUGCAUCGCUUGAAUCCGGGAGAGGUGAGUGGAAUUCCGAGUGUAGAGGUGAAAUUCGUAGAUAUUCGGAAGAACACCAGUGGCGAAGGCGGCUCACUGGACCGGCAUUGACGCUGAGGAGCGAAAGUGUGGGGAGCGAACAGG
rnacentral:rRNA from 1 species